UACAACUGAUAUUUUUUGUGUUUUUAGUGAGAUAAAUAUUCAACUUUUGAAAAACCCAAUAUGAGCAACCUUGAAAUAAAUGGUAGCCCCCACUUGAAACAACUGUUUUACACAAGAAGAUUAAUAAUACCCGUCAGAUGUAGCAUUAUUAGUAGUUAGCGGUGGUGAUGAGAAGCCAUCCAGAAUCAAGUCAUCCAGCUUUCUUCAACAUCAGAAGCAGUUGGCACAUGGCUAGAGAGCUGCUUCUUAAGAUCCUCGUUUUCCCUAAAUCAUAUGGAGAAAAAAAAAACAUGGAUUGAAAAAUCAUAACAAGAUCCUUUAAUAUAUGAUAAACACAAUAAACAAACUUAGAAAAAACUAAGUAUACCUCUUUAAAUUUUCAACUGUCCUUUCUAAAGCUUCUAACUUAACUAUGAAACCAUCCACGUGAUCUGAUUCUUUCAGUGGUGCAACUUCUUUCACUCGAUUAGUUAUCCAUGCUUAUUUUUUAAGAGGUAUUAUAUCAGUUAGCUUGUUUCUCAAUUUUUCUUGACCACCAUAGAAUUCGCGUGGACCCAAGAAAUCAUCAAUACCAGAUUCCCUAGUAAACGAUUCAACAAAAACACAUCCCUGAUAAUUUAUUGUUGGAUUGGUGUUGUGACAUAUGAAACAACUCUGAAUCGUCUGAGAAGACGAGGAUGACUGAAGCAAAUCCAGAGGUGGAGAACCAAAAGUAUGCCCAACAUUAGAAAGCCUCUUCUUAAUAUCCUCAUUUUC
rnacentral:lncRNA from 1 species